CUGUUUGUGGCCUAGUGGUCAAAGUUACAGUCUAUGGACUACAAAGUUGCUGGUUCAAGCCCAGCCAGGAACA
rnacentral:tRNA from 1 species